UACGACCAAAUCACGUAUAAACUCCGGUUCUCGUACGAUCACCGAAGUUAAACGUCGUUGAGUUUUGGUCAGUAUCAAGAUGGGUGACCGCUUGAGGAUACCAAGUGCU